CAGCAGCCGCGGGAAUACGGAGGGUGCAAGCGUUAAUCGGAAUUACUGGGCGUAAAGCGCACGCAGGCGGUCUGUCAAGUCAGACGUGAAAUCCCCGGGCUUAACCUGGGAACUGCAUUUGAAACUGGCAGGCUAGAGUCUUGUAGAGGGGGGUAGAAUUCCAGGUGUAGCGGUGAAAUGCGUAGAGAUCUGGAGGAACAUCUGUGGCGAAGGCGACUAUCUGGGCCAACACUGACACUGAGGCACGAAAGCGUGGGGAGCAAACAGGAUUAGAUACCCCAGUAGUCCCUGUCUCUUAUAC
rnacentral:rRNA from 1 species